rnacentral:rRNA from 1 species
UGGGGAAUUUUGGACAAUGGGCGAAAGCCUGAUCCAGCAAUGCCGCGUGUGUGAAGAAGGCCUUCGGGUUGUAAAGCACUUUUGUCCGGAAAGAAAUGGCUCUGGUUAAUACCUGGGGUCGAUGACGGUACCGGAAGAAUAAGGACCGGCUAACUACGUGCCAGCAGCCGCGGUAAUACGUAGGGUCCAAGCGUUAAUCGGAAUUACUGGGCGUAAAGCGUGCGCAGGCGGUUGUGCAAGACCGAUGUAAAAUCCCCGAGCUUAACUUGGGAAUUGCAUUGGUGACUGCACGGCUAGAGUGUGUCAGAGGGGGGUAGAAUUCCACGUGUAGCAGUGAAAUGCGUAGAGAUGUGGAGGAAUACCGAUGGCGAAGGCAGCCCCCUGGGAUAACACUGACGCUCAUGCACGAAAGCGUGGGGAGCAAACAGG